rnacentral:rRNA from 1 species
GACGAACGCUGGCGGCGGGCUUAACACAUGCAAGUCGAACGGAAAGGCCCUGCUUUUGUGGGGUGCUCGAGUGGCGAACGGGUGAGUAACACGUGAGUAACCUGCCCUUGACUUUGGGAUAACUUCAGGAAACUGGGGCUAAUACCUGAUAGGAGCUCCUGCUGCAUGGUGGGGGUUGGAAAGUUUCGGCGGUUGGGGAUGGACUCGCGGCUUAUCAGCUUGUUGGUUGGGUAGUGGCUUACCAAGGCUUUGACGGGUAGCCGGCCUGAGAGGGUGACCGGCCACAUUGGGACUGAGAUACGGCGCAGACUCCUACGGGAGGCAGCAGUGGGGAAUAUUGCACAAUGGGCGGACGCCUGAUGCAGCAACGCCGCGUGCGGGAUGAAGGCCUUCGGGUUGUAAACCGCUUUAGCCUGUGACGAAGCGUGAGUGACGGUAAUGGGUAAAGAAGCACCGGCUAACUACGUG